AUUGCUGGUGAGAUGGUUGAGAGAAGAGCCGAGAUGAGGUUUUGAUCAAUCAGUAACCACAACCGGUGAUCUGAGGCUGCUCCGGUAGAAGUUGUUUCAAGUGGACAUGCAUGCUCCCUAGUGAGGGAGAGGAGUUUGAUAUAAUCGGAGCUGAUGAAGCUUGAUCGGCCAUUGGAAGAGAGGAUGGGAGAAUGUGAGUAGGUCUAAGAGCGGUGAAGCACAGGCUCUGAUACCAUGAAAGAUUUUAUAAAAGUGUUGAAGAACUCAGAUGCAUAGAAGAGGAGAACGUUAUGAAUACUGUAGCUGAAUAUGCAAACUCUCAUAUUGAAGUAAAUCUUAGAUGGUGAGUAAUAUAGGAAGACAACCGACAUGCUGUUAGAUAAUGCAGAGCCGUUAGUUCGGUCUAAGUAUGGAGGCGUUAUAUGCAGAGGAGCAGAGAUAAUGCUGAGCAUCCUAGUGGUCCCUUUGGCUUUUUAGUGCAGCAGAGGUUGACGUAUGCUAACAAAUACAACAAGCGGAUCUAAAGAUAUGUUUUUUAUGAACAUAAGAUACAUUAAAUUCAUUUUUUUUUUCAAGAAAUUUGACGAACAUUGUUUGAUUUGUCUUACUUCUUUGAGUUACUGUAAAUUGGACUAGGAAUUUGGUGGGCAUCCAUAGGGGGAACUACAAUGUAGUCAAUGUAUAUUUCUAAUUGUCUCUUUUUGCAUAUUUUGGCUAAGUUAUUCAGAAUGAUACCUUAAAUAAUUAAGAUGCAUCUGGUUUUGAUUCA